GUUAAGCGACUAAGCGUACACGGUGGAUGCCCUGGCAGUCAGAGGCGAUGAAGGGCGUGCUAAUCUGCGAUAAGCGCCGGUAAGGUGAUAUGAACCGUUAUAACCGGCGAUACCCGAAUGGGGAAACCCAGUGUGACUCGUCACACUAUCAUUAACUGAAUCCAUAGGUUAAUGAGGCGAACCGGGGGAACUGAAACAUCUAAGUACCCCGAGGAAAAGAAAUCAACCGAGAUUCCCCCAGUAGCGGCGAGCGAACGGGGAGGAGCCCAGAGCCUGAAUCAGCAUGUGUGUUAGUGGAAGCGUCUGGAAAGGCGCGCGAUACAGGGUGACAGCCCCGUACACAAAAGCGCAUGUGCUGUGAGCUCGAUGAGUAGGGCGGGACACGUGGUAUCCUGUCUGAAUAUGGGGGGACCAUCCUCCAAGGCUAAAUACUCCUGACUGACCGAUAGUGAACCAGUACCGUGAGGGAAAGGCGAAAAGAACCCCGGCGAGGGGAGUGAAAAAGAACCUGAAACCGUGUACGUACAAGCAGUGGGAGCCCCACCACUAAGCCAGUGGUGAACUCCACAUACGCAUCCUUUGCUGAGGAUACGGUUAACGGAGCGAAAGCGACGUUCAACCGCAAAAGAAGCAGAGGGGGCUUAGUGGUGGGGUGACUGCGUACCUUUUGUAUAAUGGGUCAGCGACUUAUAUUCUGUAGCAAGGUUAACCGUAUAGGGGAGCCGUAGGGAAACCGAGUCUUAACCGGGCGUUAAGUUGCAGGGUAUAGACCCGAAACCCGGUGAUCUAGCCAUGGGCAGGUUGAAGGUUGGGUAACACUAACUGGAGGACCGAACCGACUAAUGUUGAAAAAUUAGCGGAUGACCUGUGGCUGGGGGUGAAAGGCCAAUCAAACCGGGAGAUAGCUGGUUCUCCCCGAAAGCUAUUUAGGUAGCGCCUCGUGAAUUCAUCUCCGGGGGUAGAGCACUGUUUCGGCUAGGGGGCCAUCCCGGCUUACCAACCCGAUGCAAACUGCGAAUACCGGAGAAUGUUAUCACGGGAGACACACGGCGGGUGCUAACGUCCGUCGUGAAGAGGGAAACAACCCAGACCGCCAGCUAAGGUCCCAAAGUCAUGGUUAAGUGGGAAACGAUGUGGGAAGGCCCAGACAGCCAGGAUGUUGGCUUAGAAGCAGCCAUCAUUUAAAGAAAGCGUAAUAGCUCACUGGUCGAGUCGGCCUGCGCGGAAGAUGUAACGGGGCUAAACCAUGCACCGAAGCUGCGGCAGCGAACGUAUCACUUAAAGCGAUUCAGCGGAUGACGAUUGACGGAGCGAAGCGACGUCAAAGCGUAUACAAAGUCGAGUCGGUUUAAGGAUACGUUCGUUGGGUAGGGGAGCGUUCUGUAAGCCUGUGAAGGUGGCCUGUGAGGGUUGCUGGAGGUAUCAGAAGUGCGAAUGCUGACAUAAGUAACGAUAAAGCGGGUGAAAAGCCCGCUCGCCGGAAGACCAAGGGUUCCUGUCCAACGUUAAUCGGGGCAGGGUGAGUCGACCCCUAAGGCGAGGCCGAAAGGCGUAGUCGAUGGGAAACGGGUUAAUAUUCCCGUACUUGGUGUUACUGCGAAGGGGGGACGGAGAAGGCUAUGUUGGCCGGGCGACGGUUGUCCCGGUUUAAGCGUGU
rnacentral:rRNA from 1 species